rnacentral:tRNA from 2 species
GCAGGGGUACCCGAGCGGUCAAAGGGGCAGGGCUUAGGACCCUGUGACGUAGGUCUUCGAGCGUUCAAAUCGCUCCUCCUGCA